rnacentral:lncRNA from 1 species
UUGCUUCACCAAAAACUUGAGGCCUCUUUAUUAAAUGGCCUGCAGCAGAUAUUGACUAGAAGUGAGUGAGAUUAUACAAUGAAACUGCAUGUAAAACCUAUUAACAGAGAGCAUAUUAUAUAUGAAACUAGGUACAUGUAGGACAUUCUCUAAGACAAAAUCAGGAAGGAUUGAGAUUCUUUCUGCAUGUGUGACUACUACCUUGAAAAAAUUGGGAAGAUUUAUAUGUAAGGGAACAAGCAGUGGAGUUAAUAAUAUAAAAGCAUUUGAAUCAAAACAUAUAUGUUCUGAGGCUCCUGAGUCAAUAAUCCAAGUGCUGGAAUUAAAAUACAAAAAUAAGAACCAGUGUAUUUGAUAAUAGUACCAACAACUGCAUUUACAUUAACAUCUGAAGUUGAGCUUCCUGAAUCUGCAGCCUUAACCUACUUAAUUAGCUGAACUAACUGUGACAAUUGUUCUUUUGAAAGAUGUUGAUUCAUUGCCUCAUUGUAGCUGUUGUUGGUCUCAUUUCCUUAUUCUCCUGAAAGCACCCCAUUGCUCCUGACUUGAAAUUGAUUGCCUUUAGCAUUACAACAACAACAACUACCCAGUAUAGUCCCACAAAGUAGGGUCUGGGAGGGUAAUAUGUAGACGAGCCUUAUCCCUACCCGAAAGGGCAGAGAGGCUGUUUCUAGUCGACCCCCGGCUCAGUGAAGGAAAGGAAAGACAAAAACAAAAGAGCAUU